UGCAUUAUUUACGGUCAUUCUUUCGCGACUGUUAAGGUUCAACUUCUAAAAUUGGUGUACCUUGUGCAAAUGUAUCUACCAUAUAUAUACGAUACGUACGCCACCUGUCUGCACCCGUCCCGCAGUUUUGCAGAGAGGCCAAGGGCUUUUAUGCCUCCUCUCUGACUCUUGUGUCAGGGCCAUCAGUGCACGCUCUGGACGGAUGGAUGGGAAGCUGCACCCAAAAGAGUACAUUUUGCUUCGAAUGGACUCUGUUUCCACAAACGAAUUGGAUGCACACUUCUGCCCAUUAAUUAUCCAACGAAUUGGAGCGGAGCUGACUAAAGCACGCCUGGCACACCCUCACAGGCUUGAUGAUCC